GGGUUGUGAGGUUAAGCGACUAAGCGUACACGGUGGAUGCCCUGGCAGUCAGAGGCGAUGAAGGACGUGCUAAUCUGCGAAAAGCGUCGGUAAGGUGAUAUGAACCGUUACAGCCGGCGAUGUCCGAAUGGGGAAACCCAGUGCAAUUCGUUGCACUAUCGUUAACUGAAUACAUAGGUUAACGAGGCGAACCGGGGGAACUGAAACAUCUAAGUACCCCGAGGAAAAGAAAUCAACCGAGAUUCCCCCAGUAGCGGCGAGCGAACGGGGAGCAGCCCAGAGUCUGAAUCAGCUUGUGUGUUAGUGGAACGGUCUGGAAAGUCCGACGGUACAGGGUGAUAGUCCCGUACACCAAAAUGCACAGGCUGUGAACUCGAAGAGUAGGGCGGGACACGUGGUAUCCUGUCUGAAUAUGGGGGGACCAUCCUCCAAGGCUAAAUACUCCUGACUGACCGAUAGUGAACCAGUACCGUGAGGGAAAGGCGAAAAGAACCCCGGCGAGGGGAGUGAAAAAGAACCUGAAACCGUGUACGUACAAGCAGUGGGAGCACCUUCGGGUGUGACUGCGUACCUUUUGUAUAAUGGGUCAGCGACUUAUAUUCUGUAGCAAGGUUAACCGUAUAGGGGAGCCGCAGGGAAACCGAGUCUUAACUGGGCGUUAAGUUGCAGGGUAUAGACCCGAAACCCGGUGAUCUAGCCAUGGGCAGGUUGAAGGUUGGGUAACACUAACUGGAGGACCGAACCGACUAAUGUUGAAAAAUUAGCGGAUGACUUGUGGCUGGGGGUGAAAGGCCAAUCAAACCGGGAGAUAGCUGGUUCUCCCCGAAAGCUAUUUAGGUAGCGCCUCGUGAACUCAUCUUCGGGGGUAGAGCACUGUUUCGGCUAGGGGGUCAUCCCGACUUACCAACCCGAUGCAAACUACGAAUACCGAAGAAUGUUAUCACGGGAGACACACGGCGGGUGCUAACGUCCGUCGUGAAGAGGGAAACAACCCAGACCGCCAGCUAAGGUCCCAAAGUCAUGGUUAAGUGGGAAACGAUGUGGGAAGGCACAGACAGCCAGGAUGUUGGCUUAGAAGCAGCCAUCAUUUAAAGAAAGCGUAAUAGCUCACUGGUCGAGUCGGCCUGCGCGGAAGAUGUAACGGGGCUAAACCAUGCACCGAAGCUGCGGCAGCGACACUAUGUGUUGUUGGGUAGGGGAGCGUUCUGUAAGCCUGCGAAGGUGACCUGUGAGGGUUGCUGGAGGUAUCAGAAGUGCGAAUGCUGACAUAAGUAACGAUAAAGCGGGUGAAAAGCCCGCUCGCCGGAAGACCAAGGGUUCCUGUCCAACGUUAAUCGGGGCAGGGUGAGUCGACCCCUAAGGCGAGGCCGAAAGGCGUAGUCGAUGGGAAACAGGUUAAUAUUCCUGUACUUGGUGUUACUGCGAAGGGGGGACGGAGAAGGCUAUGUUAGCCGGGCGACGGUUGUCCCGGUUUAAGCAUGUAGGCUGGUUGUCCAGGCAAAUCCGGAUAAUCAAGGCUGAGGUGUGAUGACGAGGCACUACGGUGCUGAAGUAACAAAUGCCCUGCUUCCAGGAAAAGCCUCUAAGCAUCAGGUAACAUUAAAUCGUACCCCAAACCGACACAGGUGGUCAGGUAGAGAAUACCAAGGCGCUUGAGAGAACUCGGGUGAAGGAACUAGGCAAAAUGGUGCCGUAACUUCGGGAGAAGGCACGCUGGUGUGUAGGUGAAGUCCCUGCGGAUGGAGCUGAGACCAGUCGAAGAUACCAGCUGGCUGCAACUGUUUAUUAAAAACACAGCACUGUGCAAACACGAAAGUGGACGUAUACGGUGUGACGCCUGCCCGGUGCCGGAAGGUUAAUUGAUGGGGUUAUCCGUAAGGAGAAGCUCUUGAUCGAAGCCCCGGUAAACGGCGGCCGUAACUAUAACGGUCCUAAGGUAGCGAAAUUCCUUGUCGGGUAAGUUCCGACCUGCACGAAUGGCGUAAUGAUGGCCAGGCUGUCUCCACCCGAGACUCAGUGAAAUUGAACUCGCUGUGAAGAUGCAGUGUACCCGCGGCAAGACGGAAAGACCCCGUGAACCUUUACUAUAGCUUGACACUGAACAUUGAGCCUUGAUGUGUAGGAUAGGUGGGAGGCUUUGAAGCGUGGACGCCAGUCUGCGUGGAGCCAACCUUGAAAUACCACCCUUUAAUGUUUGAUGUUCUAACGUUGGCCCCUGACCGGGGUUGCGGACAGUGUCUGGUGGGUAGUUUGACUGGGGCGGUCUCCUCCCAAAGCGUAACGGAGGAGCACGAAGGUUAGCUAAUCCUGGUCGGACAUCAGGAGGUUAGUGCAAUGGCAUAAGCUAGCUUGACUGCGAGCGUGACGGCGCGAGCAGGUGCGAAAGCAGGUCAUAGUGAUCCGGUGGUUCUGAAUGGAAGGGCCAUCGCUCAACGGAUAAAAGGUACUCCGGGGAUAACAGGCUGAUACCGCCCAAGAGUUCAUAUCGACGGCGGUGUUUGGCACCUCGAUGUCGGCUCAUCACAUCCUGGGGCUGAAGUAGGUCCCAAGGGUAUGGCUGUUCGCCAUUUAAAGUGGUACGCGAGCUGGGUUUAGAACGUCGUGAGACAGUUCGGUCCCUAUCUGCCGUGGGCGCUGGAGAAUUGAGGGGGGCUGCUCCUAGUACGAGAGGACCGGAGUGGACGCAUCACUGGUGUUCGGGUUGUCAUGCCAAUGGCACUGCCCGGUAGCUAAAUGCGGAAGAGAUAAGUGCUGAAAGCAUCUAAGCACGAAACUUGCCCCGAGAUGAGUUCUCCCUGAGACUUUAAGUCUCCUGAAGGAACGUUAAAGACGAUGACGUUGAUAGGCCGGGUGUGUAAGCGCAGCGAUGCGUUGAGCUAACCGGUACUAAUGAACCGUGAGGCUUAACCUUACAACGCCGAAG
rnacentral:rRNA from 2 species